GUAGUCUCGCACAGAUGCAUAUCAAUAAGCGGAGGAAAAGAAACUAACAAGGAUUCCCCUUAGUAACGGCGAGUGAAGCGGGAAGAGCUCAAAUUUGAAAUCUUAAAGGGUUUCCCUUUACGAAUUGUAGUUUAAAGAAGUGUUUUCUGUUGAGGUUUUGGUAAAAGUUCUUUGGAAUAGGACAUCAUAGAGGGUGAGAAUCCCGUAUUUGACCUUUACUUUCAACUUUGUGAUACACUUUCAAAGAGUCGGAUUGUUUGGGAAUGCAGUCCAAAAUGGGUGGUAAAUUUCAUCUAAAGCUAAAUAUUGGCGAGAGACCGAUAGCGAACAAGUACCGUGAGGGAAAGAUGAAAAGAACUUUGAAAAGAGAGUUAAACAGUACGUGAAAGUUGUCAAAAGGGAAGCGUUUGACACCAGUGUUGUUUUUCUGAAAAUCAAUUAAGGAACUGUUUAUGCUAAGUUGUUUAGACUUUAUCAGCUAAUCUGUUUAGUUUUGAGCUUUUCUUUAAUGCACUUUUCAGUUAACAAGUCAACAUCAAUUUCUUUUGCUGUAAAAAAGCUUGAGGAAGGUGGCUUGAGAUUCGUCUUAAGUGUUUAUAGCCUCUUGCCUAUGCAGUCGGAGAGAUUGAGGUCUGCAGCGUAGAUCCUUCGGGGCUAAAUGCAUUUGUGCUAAGUUAUAGCAUUUUAUAGACAACUUGUUGACUAUGAUUUGUCUUGUAGCUUACUCGCUUAUGUUAUUUUACCUACGCUUAGGAUGUUGAUGUGAUACUGCGAGCA
rnacentral:rRNA from 1 species